GAGGUUCUGGAGGAGCGUCUGGAACUGUGAGGCCGAGAGCUGAGGCUUCCACCUGCUGCCGGGCUGCUCAUCCAGUCUGUUCAUCGGACACAAGGAAGGAUUUACCUUCAGCACCAGUGAGAAGCUCAGCUGGAAACCUCACAUGAAACACUGAGCCUUCAGAGUAAAAGCACGUGGAACUAGUAGCAAGCCUGGAAUUGCUACAAUAAAAGCUAUUUUUAUGGGACGAGGGACCGCAGGUCGCCCAGGGAGGCUGCCACUCGGAGGCCGCCGCCCUCCAGGACCACGUCGCUGGUGGACGGGUGGCGGACGCCGCGGUCCAGACGCAGCGAGAAGGAGAAGUUCUGACCGUAGCUCAGCAACUGAUUCCCCAGGGUUGCAGCGGCAGGGCGUGCAGCUCAGCGCCGCCCCCACCAGGUUGAAGCCAUCCUUGCAGCGCUCGCAGUGGCGCCCUGCAGUGUUUCCCUG